rnacentral:rRNA from 1 species
CUCGUAGGCGGUUUGUCGCGUCUGCCGUGAAAUCCUGGGGCUUAACUCUGGGCGUGCGGUGGGUACGGGCAGACUAGAGUGCGGUAGGGGAGACUGGAAUUCCUGGUGUAGCGGUGGAAUGCGCAGAUAUCAGGAGGAACACCGGUGGCGAAGGCGGGUCUCUGGGCCGUUACUGACGCUGAGGAGCGAAAGCAUGGGGAGCAACA